AACGAACGCUGGCGGCGUGUUUAAGACAUGCAAGUCGCACGGUGUCAUUUUGGUAGCAAUACUUGGAUGGCAUAGUGGCGCACGGGUGAGUAACACGUGAAUUACAUGCCCUGUAGAGGGGGAUAGCCCAGGGAAACUUAGAUUAAUACCCCAUGGUCUCGCAAGAGUAAAAGGUGGCCGCAAGGCUGUCGCUACAGGAUUGGUUCGCGCCCUAUCAGCUUGUUGGCGGGGUAACGGCCCACCAAGGCUACGACGGGUACCUGGUCUGAGAGGACGAUCAGGCACACUGGAACUGAGACACGGUCCAGACACCUACGGGUGGCAGCAGUCGAGAAUAACUCACAAUGGGGGCAACCCUGAUGGUGCAACGCCGCGUGGAGGAUGACGGUCUUCGGAUUGUAAACUCCUGUCAUCCGGGAGUAAGACCUGGGAGUUAAUAGCUCACAGGGUUGAUAGUACCGGAAGAGGAAGGGACGGCUAACUUCGUGCCAGCAGCCGCGGUAAAAC
rnacentral:rRNA from 1 species